AUUGAACGCUGGCGGCAUGCCUAACACAUGCAAGUCGAACGGCAGCACAGUAAAGAUUUCGGUCUUUAUGGGUGGCGAGUGGCGGACGGGUGAGUAAUGCGUAGGAAUCUGUCCUGGAGAGUAGGAUAACCCGUGGAAACUCGGGCUAAUACUGCAUGAUAUCGAGAGAUCAAAGGCAGGGGACCCUUCGGGGCCUUGCGCUCUAGGAUGAGCCUACGUCGGAUUAGCUAGUUGGGGGGGUAAAGGCCUCCCAAGGCGACGAUCCGUAGCUGGUCUGAGAGGAUGACCAGCCACACUGGGACUGAGACACGGCCCAGACUCCUACGGGAGGCAGCAGUGGGGAAUCUUGGACAAUGGGGGAAACCCUGAUCCAGCGAUGCCGCGUGUGUGAAGAAGGCCUUCGGGUUGUAAAGCACUUUAGUUGGGGAAGAAAAGUAAUGAGUGAAUAACUGAUUGCUCUGACGGUACCCAAAGAAUAAGCACCGGCUAACUCUGUGCCAGCCGCCGCAGUAA
rnacentral:rRNA from 1 species